rfam:Flavobacterium spartansii strain MST NODE_10_length_137066_cov_49.0551, whole genome shotgun sequence.
ACGAUGAAGAGUUUGAUCCUGGCUCAGGAUGAACGCUAGCGGCAGGCUUAACACAUGCAAGUCGAGGGGUAUAUGUCUUCGGAUAUAGAGACCGGCGCACGGGUGCGUAACGCGUAUGCAAUCUACCUUUUACAGAGGGAUAGCCCAGAGAAAUUUGGAUUAAUACCUCAUAGUAUAGUGACUCGGCAUCGAGAUAC